GGAGGCAGAGAAGAAGGAGACAAUGGAGAAGAGACGCAGAGAGGAGGCUGCAGAAAAGGAGCAUAAGGAAGAGGAUGAAAGGAGGCGUGUUGCUGCGAACAGGGAGGAGAGGGAGAAGAAGCUUGAGCGUGCACGCCAAGCGAAAGCAGCGAUUGAGGAGAAUCCCGAUGCCCUGAGGAAGGGAAAGUGGCCUCGUUGCACACAGUAGUCUCCAUUACUUGCUAGUUUUAUGGUUUAUUCAUGAACAAUGUUAUCUACUAUUGGACUUUUCAUUUGUGUUGUCAUGUAAUGCACUUUAAGUAUGGGCGAUGACAAAAAUAAGUACCGACAGAUGCUCAUCACUGAAUCAACACAUGCUACCGAAAUUUCAGCAGAAUUUCCCUUGUGUUUUUAUGCAAUCCAUACAUGAAAGUGAGAUGAACUUUUAACCUCAAUACAAC
rnacentral:lncRNA from 1 species